rnacentral:rRNA from 1 species
GGGACACGUGGUAUCCUGUCUGAAUAUGGGGGGACCAUCCUCCAAGGCUAAAUACUCCUGACUGACCGAUAGUGAACCAGUACCGUGAGGGAAAGGCGAAAAGAACCCCGGCGAGGGGAGUGAAAAAGAACCUGAAACCGUGUACGUACAAGCAGUGGGAGCACGCUUAGGCGUGUGACUGCGUACCUUUUGUAUAAUGGGUCAGCGACUUAUAUUCUGUAGCAAGGUUAACCGAAUAGGGGAGCCGAAGGGAAACCGAGUCUUAACUGGGCGUUAAGUUGCAGGGUAUAGACCCGAAACCCGGUGAUCUAGCCAUGGGCAGGUUGAAGGUUGGGUAACACUAACUGGAGGACCGAACCGACUAAUGUUGAAAAAUUAGCGGAUGACUUGUGGCUGGGGGUGAAAGGCCAAUCAAACCGGGAGAUAGCUGGUUCUCCCCGAAAGCUAUUUAGGUAGCGCCUCGUGAAUUCAUCUCCGGGGGUAGAGCACUGUUUCGGCAAGGGGGUCAUCCCGACUUACCAACCCGAUGCAAACUGCGAAUACCGGAGAAUGUUAUCACGGGAGACACACGGCGGGUGCUAACGUCCGUCGUGAAGAGGGAAACAACCCAGACCGCCAGCUAAGGUCCCAAAGUCAUGGUUAAGUGGGAAACGAUGUGGGAAGGCCCAGACAGCCAGGAUGUUGGCUUAGAAGCAGCCAUCAUUUAAAGAAAGCGUAAUAGCUCACUGGUCGAGUCGGCCUGCGCGGAAGAUGUAACGGGGCUAAACCAUGCACCGAAGCUGCGGCAGCGACGCUUAUGCGUUGUUGGGUAGGGGAGCGUUCUGUAAGCCUGCGAAGGUGUGCUGUGAGGCAUGCUGGAGGUAUCAGAAGUGCGAAUGCUGACAUAAGUAACGAUAAAGCGGGUGAAAAGCCCGCUCGCCGGAAGACCAAGGGUUCCUGUCCAACGUUAAUCGGGGCAGGGUGAGUCGACCCCUAAGGCGAGGCCGAAAGGCGUAGUCGAUGGGAAACAGGUUAAUAUUCCUGUACUUGGUGUUACUGCGAAGGGGGGACGGAGAAGGCUAUGUUGGCCGGGCGACGGUUGUCCCGG